rnacentral:rRNA from 1 species
AAUACCGCAUAAGACAGUAGCUGGGCAUCCAGCAGCUGUUAAAGAUUUAUCGAUGUAAGCUGGGCAUGCGUCCAAUUAGCUAGUUGGUGAGGUAACGGCUCACCAAGGCAAUGAUUGGUAGGGGAACUGAGAGGUCAAUCCCCCACACUGGCACUGAGAUACGGGCCAGACUCCUACGGGAGGCAGCAGUAGGGAAUAUUGGGCAAUGGACGCAAGUCUGACCCAGCCAUGCCGCGUGCAGGAUGAAGGCGUUAUGCGUUGUAAACUGCUUUUAUACAGGAAGAAACGACUCUUGCGAGAGGCAUUGACGGUACUGUAUGAAUAAGCACCGGCUAACUCCGUGCCAGCAGCCGCGGUAAUACGGAGGGUGCAAGCGUUGUCCGGAUUUAUUGGGUUUAAAGGGUGCGCAGGUGGUUUAUUAAGUCAGUGGUGAAAGACGGUCGCUCAACGAUUGCAGUGCCAUUGAAACUGGUAGACUUGAGUAAAGUAGAGGUGGGCGGAAUUGAUAGUGUAGCGGUGAAAUGCAUAGAUAUUAUCAAGAACUCCAAUUGCGUAGGCAGCUCACUUGGCUUUUACUGACACUCAUGCACGAAAGUGUGGGUAUCAAACAGGAUUAGAUACCCUGGUAGUCCACACUGUAAACGAUGAUAACUAGGUGUCGGCCGAAUCUGGUCGGUGCCACAGCGAAAGCGUUAAG